rnacentral:rRNA from 1 species
CAUAGGUUAAUGAGGCGAACCGGGGGAACUGAAACAUCUAAGUACCCCGAGGAAAAGAAAUCAACCGAGAUUCCCCCAGUAGCGGCGAGCGAACGGGGAGCAGCCCAGAGCCUGAAUCAGUGUGUGUGUUAGUGGAAGCGUCUGGAAAGGCGCGCGAUACAGGGUGACAGCCCCGUACACAAAAAUGCACAUGCUGUGAGCUCGAUGAGUAGGGCGGGACACGUGGUAUCCUGUCUGAAUAUGGGGGGACCAUCCUCCAAGGCUAAAUACUCCUGACUGACCGAUAGUGAACCAGUACCGUGAGGGAAAGGCGAAAAGAACCCCGGCGAGGGGAGUGAAAAAGAACCUGAAACCGUGUACGUACAAGCAGUGGGAGCACGCUUAGGCGUGUGACUGCGUACCUUUUGUAUAAUGGGUCAGCGACUUAUAUUCUGUAGCAAGGUUAACCGAAUAGGGGAGCCGAAGGGAAACCGAGUCUUAACUGGGCGUUAAGUUGCAGGGUAUAGACCCGAAACCCGGUGAUCUAGCCAUGGGCAGGUUGAAGGUUGGGUAACACUAACUGGAGGACCGAACCGACUAAUGUUGAAAAAUUAGCGGAUGACUUGUGGCUGGGGGUGAAAGGCCAAUCAAACCGGGAGAUAGCUGGUUCUCCCCGAAAGCUAUUUAGGUAGCGCCUCGUGAAUUCAUCUCCGGGGGUAGAGCACUGUUUCGGCAAGGGGGUCAUCCCGACUUACCAACCCGAUGCAAACUGCGAAUACCGGAGAAUGUUAUCACGGGAGACACACGGCGGGUGCUAACGUCCGUCGUGAAGAGGGAAACAACCCAGACCGCCAGCUAAGGUCCCAAAGUCAUGGUUAAGUGGGAAACGAUGUGGGAAGGCCCAGACAGCCAGGAUGUUGGCUUAGAAGCAGCCAUCAUUUAAAGAAAGCGUAAUAGCUCACUGGUCGAGUCGGCCUGCGCGGAAGAUGUAACGGGGCUAAACCAUGCACCGAAGCUGCGGCAGCGACGCUGAUGCGUUGUUGGGUAGGGGAGCGUUCUGUAAGCCUGCGAAGGUGUGCUGUGAGGCAUGCUGGAGGUAUCAGAAGUGCGAAUGCUGACAUAAGUAACGAUAAAGCGGGUGAAAAGCCCGCUCGCCGGAAGACCAAGGGUUCCUGUCCAACGUUAAUCGGGGCAGGGUGAGUCGACCCCUAAGGCGAGGCCGAAAGGCGUAGUCGAUGGGAAACAGGUUAAUAUUCCUGUACUUGGUGUUACUGCGAAGGGGGGACGGAGAAGGCUAUGUUGGCCGGGCGACGGUUGUCCCGGUUUAAGCGUGUAGGCUGGUUUUCCAGGCAAAUCCGGAAAAUCAAGGCUGAGGCGUGAUGACGAGGCACUACGGUGCUGAAGCAACAAAUGCCCUGCUUCCAGGAAAAGCCUCUAAGCAUCAGGUAACAUCAAAUCGUACCCCAAACCGACACAGGUGGUCAGGUAGAGAAUACCAAGGCGCUUGAGAGAACUCGGGUGAAGGAACUAGGCAAAAUGGUGCCGUAACUUCGGGAGAAGGCACGCUGAUAUGUAGGUGAAGUCCCUCGCGGAUGGAGCUGAAAUCAGUCGAAGAUACCAGCUGGCUGCAACUGUUUAUUAAAAACACAGCACUGUGCAAACACGAAAGUGGACGUAUACGGUGUGACGCCUGCCCGGUGC